UGUAAAGUUCAAAAGCACGAGCUGUGUGAUCUGUGAGAGGUGGUGCAGCGAUGGCAGCAGGAGGUGCAGGAGCAGAAGGAGAGCCGGGUAAAGGAGGUGCAGGCCCUUAAGGAAGAGCUGCAGAGCACACAAAGUUGUCUGCAGCAGCACAGAGAUACAGCCCACAGACAGCAGAGAGACACGGAGGAUGAGGUCUCCUGCAGGGCGGCAGCUCUCCGCAGUCAGGAUACAGAGUUGAUUCAACUAAAGGCAGGUCUGCUGGAGGCUGAGAAACUAGACACAGAGGCACGACUGCAACCUCUUAGUGAAUCCCUAGAGCUCUGCCAACACAAGUACCAGGCCUGCCUCAGCAAGAUCACACAACAAGAGAACACUCUGCAUAGCCACGAGGAGGACCUGAAAGAGGCCCACAAUCAGAGGGAAGAGCAGGUCCUCCGUCUGAGGGCUCAGGUUGUAGCUCAGCAGGUACACUGCGCCCAGCUGGAGAGUGGAGACGAUGCCCUCACCGCUCUGAGCCAGCAGCUCCGAGACACGCUGGGAGAACUGGAGCACAGUCGUAAACACAGCCAGGAGUGUGAGCUGCUCAUCAGCACUCUCAGAGACACCGCUGCUACCCUUCGCUGACAGAGGUGCAGCGACUGCAGGAGCAGGUGAGAAAGCUCCAGGUGGAUGCAGCAGAUGAGGGCUGGAGACAAGCACAAGUUGAUUCUCUGGAACAGAAGGUAGCUAGUCUGGAAGGAGAACUACUGGCAGCUCAAAGGCAGUGUGACCAGGUAAACAAUGUAUGUACAGAUCAGAUACACUUUGCCUGUGGCAGAUUCUCACAGUCACUCUCUCUCAGGCUAUCCAAAAGAGAGACGCCCUACUUAGACAAUCCGAGGCUGAUCUUCUGCAGGCGUGGGAGAAGAUCCGAAGCAAGGCGGCGGAGGCAGAGAGACAGGCCGUCUCUGCUCGAGGGCUAGAAGCUGAUCUGUAGAAACCCAAGAAAGAGAAAAGGCGAAGGGAGAAAGAGUGCGCCUCACUCAAAACACAGAUGCUUCAGCUCAGAGAACAACUGAAGGAGGCUUACACCACCUGUAGAGACACGGGUAACACAGAGCAGAACACAUGUAGAACUUUUAUUGUGGAUUGCCAUGAUGUAAAUAAUUCUUAAAGCCGCAGAGUAUACUUUAAACUCUUACGAGAUUGGCUGAAACUGCAAAUACAGCAGCCCCAAGAAGUAUUUGGACACCUAAGCCAAAAUUGGUGCUGGGUAGAUUACUUAUAAAUUGAAGUCAGUUAAUGAGAGCAAAUUGCAUGAAAAAAAAAAAAAAAAUGUUUUUAUUAGCAUAAACAAUUUUUUAUUACUUUGAGAUUACUUUGGGCCAAACUUGUUUUAUCACAUUAAUUUGAAUAGGAUAAUCCAUAUUGUACCAUAUUGAUAUUAAAAUACAAAGAAAAUAAAUCCCAUUCUUUGUUAUCA
ensembl:lncRNA